rnacentral:rRNA from 1 species
CCUACGGGAGGCUGCAGUGGGGAAUAUUGGACAAUGGGCGAAAGCCUGAUCCAGCCAUGCCGCGUGUGUGAAGAAGGCCUUCGGGUUGUAAAGCACUUUCAGUGGGGAAGAAAGCCUUGGGGCUAAUACCCUCGAGGAAGGACAUCACCCACAGAAGAAGCACCGGCUAACUCCGUGCCAGCAGCCGCGGUAAUACGGAGGGUGUGAGCGUUAAUCGGAAUUACUGGGCGUAAAGCGCGCGUAGGCGGUCUGAUAAGCCGGUUGUGAAAGCCCCGGGCUCAACCUGGGAACGGCAUCCGGAACUGUCAGGCUAGAGUGCAGGAGAGGAAGGUAGAAUUCCCGGUGUAGCAGUGAAAUGCGUAGAGAUCGGGAGGAAUACCAGUGGCGAAGGCGGCCUUCUGGACUGACACUGACGCUGAGGUGCGAAAGCGUGGGUAGCAAACAGGAUUAGAUACCCGAGUAGUC